GAGGGCAAAGGUGGUGGCCGAGUGUACCCUGAAGGAAAGUGCAGCCAUUAACCAAAUCCUGGGAAGAAAGGUAAUGUCUGCUCCUGUUAACUCGUCCUGGCAGCAGGCCUGUGUCCCUCCUACCCUGACUGCUCUGUGUGUCCUUACCCUCUCUCCCUUAGUGGCACAACCUGUCAAGAGAAGAACAGGCCAAAUACUAUGAACUUGCCCGGAAAGAACGGCAGCUUCACGCGCAGCUCUACCCAACCUGGUCAGCCCGGGACAACUAUGGUAAGAAGAAGAAGAGGAAGAGGGAAAAGCAGCUGUCACAGACACAGUCUCAGCAGCAAAUCCAGGAGGCAGAGGGUGCUCUGGUCUCUAAGAGCAAGAAGCCAUGCAUUCAGUACCUGCCCCCUGAGAAGCCUUGUGAUAGCCCUGCGUCUUCCCAUGGCAGCACGUUGGACUCCCCUGCGACUCCCUCCGCAGCCCUGGCGUCACCAGCUGCCCCUGCGGCUACUCACUCCGAGCAAGCCCAGCCCCUGUCACUCACCACCAAACCGGAGACCCGGGCCCAGCUGGCUCUCCACUCAGCUGCCUUCCUGUCAGCUAAGGCCACAGCCAGCAACUCCAGCCAGAUGGGCAGCCAGCCCCCACUCCUAUCCAGGCCCUUGCCCUUGGGCUCUAUGCCCACCGCUCUGCUGACCUCUCCCCCUUCUUUCCCAGCCACGCUCCAUGCCCACCAGACCCUCCCCGUGCUACAGGCCCAGCCUCUUUCCUUGGUCACCAAGUCUGCCCACUAAGCUGCCCCCGUUCUACGCAGGCUGUCUCGGGACUCCAAGUA
rnacentral:lncRNA from 1 species